rnacentral:rRNA from 1 species
UACGUAGGGUGCGAGCGUUGUCCGGAAUUACUGGGCGUAAAGAGCUCGUAGGUGGUUUGUCGCGUCGUCUGUGAAAUUCCGGGGCUUAACUCCGGGCGUGCAGGCGAUACGGGCAUAACUUGAGUACUGUAGGGGAGACUGGAAUUCCUGGUGUAGCGGUGAAAUGCGCAGAUAUCAGGAGGAACACCGGUGGCGAAGGCGGGUCUCUGGGCAGUAACUGACGCUGAGGAGCGAAAGCAUGGGUAGCGAACAGGAUUAGAUACCCUGGUA